rnacentral:rRNA from 1 species
AGUGAACGCUGGCGGUAGGCCUAACACAUGCAAGUCGAACGGCAGCACAGUAAGAGCUUGCUCUUACGGGUGGCGAGUGGCGGACGGGUGAGGCAUACAUCGGAAUCUACUUUUUCGUGGGGGAUAACGUAGGGAAACUUAUGCUAAUACCGCAUAUGACCUACGGGUGAAAGCAGGGGAUCUUCGGACCUUGCGCGAUUGAAUGAGCUGAUGUCGGAUUAGCUAGUUGGUGGGGUAAAGGCCCACCAAGGCGACGAUGCGUAGCUGGUCUGAGAGGAUGAUCAGCCACACUGGAACUGAGACACGGUCCAGACUCCUACGGGAGGCAGCAGUGGGGAAUAUUGGACAAUGGGCGCAAGCCUGAUCCAGCCAUACCGCGUGAGUGAAGAAGGCCUUCGGGUUGUAAAACCCUUUUAUUAGGAAAGAAAAGCAGCGGAUGAAUACCCCGCUGUUCUGACGGUACCCAAAGAAUAAGCACCGGCUAACUUCGUG